GACUCAAUCCGACCCAACCCGACCCAUCUUUUCAAUAAGGCAAUUCAUUUCCGGCGCCGGCGGCGUUCGGCUUCUCUCGACGAAAUCCGUAAGACGCUAGGAAACGGUCGAUCGAAGAACCUUUUGAGUCGCGAUUUCACCACAGGCUUUGCUGUAUCGUUUUGGAUCGAUUCUCUGUAUGUCGGAGAAUCGAUCGGCUGAAUUUUCAUCGGAGGCAUCCUCAGUUAAUAGUACAC
rnacentral:lncRNA from 1 species